UUUAACUGAAGAGUUUGAUCAUGGCUCAGAUUGAACGCUGGCGGCAGGCUUAACACAUGCAAGUCGAGCGGGGGAAGGUAGCUUGCUACCGGACCUAGCGGCGGACGG
rnacentral:rRNA from 1 species